rnacentral:rRNA from 1 species
AUUGAACGCUGGCGGCAGGCCUAACACAUGCAAGUCGAGCGGUAGAGAGGUGCUUGCAUCUCUUGAGAGCGGCGGACGGGUGAGUAAUGCCUAGGAAUCUGCCUAGUGGUGGGGGAUAACGUUCGGAAACGGACGCUAAUACCGCAUACGUCCUACGGGAGAAAGCGGGGGAUCUUCGGACCUCGCGCCAUUAGAUGAGCCUAGGUCGGAUUAGCUAGUUGGUGAGGUAAUGGCUCACCAAGGCGACGAUCCGUAACUGGUCUGAGAGGAUGAUCAGUCACACUGGAACUGAGACACGGUCCAGACUCCUACGGAAGGCAGCAGUGGGGAAUAUUGGACAAUGGGCGAAGCCUGAUCCAGCCAUGCCGCGUGUGUGAAGAAGGUCUUCGGAUUGUAAAGCACUUUAAGUUGGGAGGAAGGGUAGUAACCUAAUACGUUGCUACUUUGACGUUACCGACAGAAUAAGCACCGGCUAACUUCGUGCCAGCAGCCG